GAUGAACGCUGGCGGCGUGCUUGAUACAUGCAAGUCGAACGGAGAGUGUAGCAAUAUACUCUUAGUGGCGAACGGGUGAGUAACGCGUUGGUGACCUGCCCCGAAGCGAGGGAUAACAGUUCGAAAGAACUGCUAAUACCUCAUGUGAUCACCGGUUUUAGAAUCUGGUGAUUAAAGGUGAAAAUCACUUCGGGGAGGGGCCUGCGUCCCAUCAGCUAGUUGGUAGGGUAAUGGCUUACCAAGGCGAUGACGGGUAGGGGACCUGAGAGGGUGGCCCCCCACAAUGGAACUGAAACACGGUCCAUACACCUACGGGUGGCAGCAGUAGGGAAUAUUGCAAAUGGGCGAAAGCCUGAUGUAGCAACGCCGCGUGUGCGAUGAAGGUCUUCGGAUUGUAAAGCACUUUUUGGAGGGAUGAGGAAGGACAGUACCUCCAGAAUAAGCCUCGGCUAACUACGUG
rnacentral:rRNA from 1 species